ACGUAGGGUCCAAGCGUUAUCCGGAAUUACUGGGCGUAAAGCGUCUGUAGGCGGCUAAUUAAGUCAGGUGCGAAAUCUUGCGGCUCAACCGUAUAGACUGUGCUUGAAACUGAUUAGCUAGAGGUAGGUAGAGGCAAGUGGAAUUUCUGGUGUAGGAGUGACAUCCGUAGAUAUCAGAAGGAACACCAAUGGCGAAGGCAGCUUGCUGGGCCUUACCUGACGCUCAGAGACGAAAGCGUGGGGAGCGAACGGGAUUAGAUACCCCGGUAGUCCACGCCGUAAACGAUGAUCACUAGUAGUAUGAAGAUUCGACCCUUUGUGCUACGAAGCUAACGCGAUAAGUGAUCCGCCUGGGGAGUACGAGCGCAAGCUUA
rnacentral:rRNA from 1 species